rnacentral:rRNA from 1 species
AUGAGUGGCGAACGGGUGAGUAACGCGUGAGUAACCUGCCCUCUUCUUUGGGAUAACGCCCGGAAACGGGUGCUAAUACUGGAUAUUCACUGAUCUUCGCAUGGGGGUUGGUGGAAAGGUUUUUUCUGGUGGGGGAUGGGCUCGCGGCCUAUCAGCUUGUUGGUGGGGUGAUGGCCUACCAAGGCUUUGACGGGUAGCCGGCCUGAGAGGGUGACCGGUCACAUUGGGACUGAGAUACGGCCCAG